CGUGUAGGCGGUUAGGCAAGUCAGGUGUGAAAUCCCUUGGCUCAACCAAGGAAGUGCGCUUGAAACUGCUUAACUAGAGUACAGGAGGGGAAAGUGGAAUUCCCAGUGUAGAGGUGAAAUUCAUAGAUAUUGGGAGGAACACCGGUAGCGAAGGCGGCUUUCUGGCCUGAUACUGACGCUGAGACGCGAAAGCGUAGGGAGCAAACA
rnacentral:rRNA from 1 species